rnacentral:lncRNA from 1 species
AUUGGUAAGAGCAAAAUUUACAUUGUAUUUGAACCUCUCGUGUGACAAAACCUUAUACCUAAGGGCCAAACGUUUCGAUUUGCUCUAGCUGUACCACUGCGUCCGACGACAGACGGCCUGUUGCGAGGCGGGGACGUGUGAACUGAACAGACCCCGCCAGCCACCAUUCCACCAUUUGCCUCUUUGCUGCCCUCCAUAGUCGUCAUGAGCUGAAGACCCUCUCGCGGCUGGCGCAGUUGGAGGUUGGGCCACAGCGCUCGCCAUGAAUGCGCGUCGUCUCCGUUGGACCAUCAACCAUUUGCAAUUGAUGAGGAGACGAGACAGGAGAAACGGCGAGGGCAGUAGCUCGAGGUGUUCUGUAGCUGAAAGCUGCCGCGAAUCGACUGCCAUUAUUGGACGCCGUCCCUUGCCCGACUGAGAAUCGGGCGGCCGCGUGCACUGCACUGCACUGCACUACCGCCGCCCGCCAGGCGCCAGCCAACCUCGUGGUACAAAAUUCAUCCAGAAUUCGCACGAGGCCACCAGCUCGGCUCCGGCCUGCGAGGAUUUCAACAGAAACGAACUGUGAGCUUGUGAUUUGUGGUGAAGGCGACCAGACCAACCAAUAGAAGCGGGAGCGGGAGGGAGCCAGCCAGAGCCGCAACCCCCACCUGCACCAGCACAGCACCGGGCCACACCCACGUCGCAUCGGCCGCCACCUCCAACACAUCGCACCAAGCCCCAGCGCAUUAACUGAUCCCCCCCGCUUUAACUGAUCCCCGUAGCGCCCCAACCGCAACCGGCAACCGCCCCUCGCCGACUGCACGGACGGGGAAGCCUCCUGGAGAGUGGACUCCCUUUCCUUCUAUAAAUCCGGCUCCUCCCAAUCCAGGAUCUUCCCAGCCUCGCCGCCCCACCACCCCAGCAUUGCCUUACCUUGCCUUGCCUUGCCCUGCCCUCCAUUCCACCUCCACCUCGCCGCCCAAAUCCCCCCACCCAACAAUCCCCCAUGGGGUCGCAGGCCAUCGAGGCGCACCGCGCGGGCGCGGAGGUGUACCGCGGCGCGGCGCUGUGCGCGGAGAAGUCGACGGAGCUGCUGGCAGAGGCGCACCUCCCGCUGGGCCUGCUGCCGCUGGCCGACAUGGAGGAG